GUUUACUGUGCACCAGGCACUGUGCUUGGUACUGUGUUUUUAAGUGGAGCAUCAGUGGUACUUCUCCAUUAAAAGAGUUGGCUCACCUCAGAGAGACUUCAAAUUAGGAGGAUAAUUAAGAUUUCUUCAGAGUUAGGAAAGGAGACUCUGAGACACACAUGAUUAAUGGAGUGGGUUUGAGUUCCGCUGGAGCAGAUGGUACAGGGCCAUCUCUUUGGGAGAAACCCUGGUUGGGAAUCAAGAAGAAUGUUUUGCAGUAUGAAUUCCCUCGCUAUAGUCUUAUUUAGUCCUUGGAGCAGAGUUCACAUCUGGGACCCCUUGGAGAAUUAGCCAUUGUGAGAACAGUGAACCAAGAGGAAACAGAAGUAAUAUAUAUUGAAAGGCUUCAUCUGAUCUCUUGCCUGGCUUCAAAGGAAGCUUCAUUUGUAAAGGACAUGCAUGCUUGUGAAGAAAGGACCCCCAUUAGGCAAUGCUGAAAUAAUAAAAGACUCUAUGUCCACAGCCCCUGGAACAGGGAACAUAAGGGACUUGCUCUGUGCCCAACUGCAAGAUUCCGCUGGAGCUGGGAUCCCUUUUCUGCUCAGUAGAGCACAAUUCCUUCCUUUUGCUAUAAAUUAAGAUCUAUCUGACAAGAAGCUUCC
rnacentral:lncRNA from 1 species